UGAGUCGAAAUAAAAUAUAGUUUUGAGGGGUAUAUAUAUAGACACGGCACCUGACACCCAUCAUAUCACUUGUAAACAGAGUUUCAACAGAUACUUAACAAGUCCCUUGCAGUUGGUGUUGUUUCUGCUAGAAAAAAAUGGCCAAGACCGAGCAGCAAGAGAACCAACCCCCUCCAGGGUACCCAAGUGAAAAUCCUCCAACGGUGAAGAAGAAGUGGUUUCCUGGCACGAAGAAGAGAGGAGAGAAGGGCUUCAUUGAGGGUUGCCUUGCUGCUCUGUGUUGCUGUUUUAUCUGUGAAGAAUGCUGCUGAAAGAUGACUCUUUUAGGGCAAUAUCUGCAUAAGAACAUUGUGUCAAUCAUAUUUAUAUCAUGGCUAUGAGCUUGUAAUAUUCCUAGAUCGUGUAACUUGUCGUAUAGUUGAUGUUAUUUGUGAUCAACUAGAGAGCUAAUAAAAAUUUAUGUUUGUGCU